AUUGAACGCUGGCGGCAGGCCUAACACAUGCAAGUCGAGCGGACGACGGGAGCUUGCUCCUUGAUUCAGCGGCGGACGGGUGGGUAAUGCCUAGGAAUCUGCCUGGUAGUGGGGGACAACGUUUCGAAAGGAACGCUAAUACCGCAUACGUCCUACGGGAGAAAGCAGGGGACCUUCGGGCCUUGCGCUAUCAGAUGAGCCUAGGUCGGAUUAGCUAGUAGGUGAGGUAAUGGCUCACCUAGGCGACGAUCCGUAACUGGUCUGAGAGGAUGAUCAGUCACACUGGAACUGAGACACGUUCCAGACUCCUACGGGAGGCAGCAGUGGGGAAUAUUGGACAAUGGGCGAAAGCCUGAUCCAGCCAUGCCGCGUGUGUGAAGAAGGUCUUCGGAUUGUAAAGCACUUUAAGUUGGGAGGAAGGGCAGUAAGCUAAUACCUUGCUGUUUUGACGUUACCGACAGAAUAAGCACCGGCUAACUCUGUGCCAGCCGCCGCCGUAACAC
rnacentral:rRNA from 1 species